AAAUGAAUUGACGGGGGCUCACACAAGCGGUGGAGCAUGUGGCUUAAUUCGAAGCAACGCGAAGAACCUGACCUGGGUUUGACAUGCAAGGAUUAGUUCUGUGAAAGCAGAAUGACGCGGCUUGCCGUGGAACUUGCACAGGUGCUGCAUGGCUGUCGUCAGCUCGUGUCGUGAGAUGUCGGGUUAAGUCCCCUAACGAGCGAAACCCUUGUCGCUAGUUGCUAACGGGUAAUGCUGAGCACUUUAGCGAGACUGCCGGUGUUAAACCGGAGGAAGGUGGGGAUGACGUCAAGUCCUCAUGGCCUUUAUGCCCAGGGCUGCACACGUGCUACAAUGGGAUGGUACAAAGCGACGCGAAGCCGCGAGGCGGAGCAAAUCGCAGAAAACUUCCCUCAGUUCGGAUUGCAGGCUGCAACUCGCCUGCAUGAAGCUGGAAUCGCUAGUAAUCGCGCAUCAGCUAUGGCGCGGUGAAUAUGUUCCUGAGCCUUGUACACACCGCCCGU
rnacentral:rRNA from 1 species